rnacentral:rRNA from 1 species
GUACGGGAGGCAGCAGUGGGGAAUUUUGGACAAUGGGCGAAAGCCUGAUCCAGCCAUGCCGCGUGCAGGAUGAAGGCCUUCGGGUUGUAAACUGCUUUUGUACGGAACGAAAAGACUCCUUCUAAUAAAGGGGGUCCAUGACGGUACCGUAAGAAUAAGCACCGGCUAACUACGUGCCAGCAGCCGCGGUAAUACGUAGGGUGCAAGCGUUAAUCGGAAUUACUGGGCGUAAAGCGUGCGCAGGCGGUUAUAUAAGACAGAUGUGAAAUCCCCGGGCUCAACCUGGGAACUGCAUUUGUGACUGUAUAGCUAGAGUACGGCAGAGGGGGAUGGAAUUCCGCGUGUAGCAGUGAAAUGCGUAGAUAUGCGGAGGAACACCGAUGGCGAAGGCAAUCCCCUGGGCCUGUACUGACGCUCAUGCACGAAAGCGUGGGGAGCAAACAGGAUUAGAUACCCCGGU